GUAGUGGGCUUUAUUAUUCUCAUGGAAGCAGGGGUCUAAGUCUUCUGCUAAAAGUGACAGGCUCAGGGUAGAUUCAGGAUUUGAGGUAAGGAAUGAUAUUCUGAAGUUGUUGCCUUGGGAAAUGGGUAAGUUUGUUGGACAACAAUGAGAAAACCAGAGAGGCUAGAAAUUAUAUGAUGGUCAUGGAGACAGUCCGGACUCAGUUUUUGGCUUAGGUUUUGCUUUUGACUGGGAUUUUUUCCCCGCUGUGGCAUAUUUCACCUCAGGGACAGGAAUGGAAGACAUGUGCCGAUGCUGGAUUGGCUGAUGUGGUAGCAUCACAGGGAAGAGAAAACUAUGGGUGGUGAUGAGCACUUGCUUAAAAUAACUGAAGACAGCUAAGAAGGAAAGCCCGGCCAGGAGUGGGGUUUGUCAACUUGGAUAACUGGCUGGGACCAGGAUAAGGAGAGGUUUAGUGGAAGUAAAAGACAGCACGUUGGGGCCGGGUGCGGUGACUCACACCUGUAAUCCCAGCACUUUGGGAGGCUGAGGCAGGUGGAUCACCUGAGGUCAGGAGUUUGAGACCAGCCUGACCAACAUGGAGAAACCCCAUCUCUACUAAAUAUAAAAAUUUAGCCAGGCAUGGGGGCACAUGCCUGUAAUCCCAGCUACUUGGGAGGCUGAGGCAGGAGAAGCACUUGAACCCGGGAGGUGGAGGUUGCAGUGAGCCGACAUUGUGCCAUUGCACUCCAGCCUGGGCAACAAGAGCAAAACUCCAUCUCAAAAAAAAAAAAAGUCAGCACUUUGGUAUGGUGGCCAGACAGGCGGUGCUGCUGAAGUGAAGUGAAGGUAACCCCCCUCGCCCAUCAGGAAUUUUAUCUCCAGCCUUGUCAACAAACAAUCAUCUUGGGCUUUAAAUCUUCCUGGUCUUGGUGCCUAAAAAGCCAGUAGCCACCUAGCUCAUCAGGCCUGUACCUGAGAGUCACACCUCUAUUACCCUCUGACUCUCAGAUCUCAGUGAUCCUUUGAUCUCUCCUUCAUGUUGCACCCCAAUAUUCUCCGUUGUCAGAACCAUGAGAAGAUGACUUAUCAUACCUUUGUAGAUUGUGAUGGAAAACCAUGGCUUCCUAGUAAAGUGCCACUGGGAAGACUAGCCUUUCCUCUGCAGGAUUUUCUUCCAUCUCCUCUCAAAACCAGAACCUUUCUUCCCAGGUGCAGGACAAGGAAAAAAUGCUCGAUGGCAGAAUUGAUUUUAUACCAACACAAAAGUUGUGUGUGUUGAAUAAGUGCUUUCCAUAUGGAAUGUGCCCAUAUGCAACAACGAGUUAGAAUGCCUGUUCAAAAGUGAAUACCAAGGUUGAAUUUAGUUAGCAAAUACCAAGGUUGAACUUAGUUAGCUGGAAGAGAGUCGUGGAGGCGCAAACUGGAAGGAAUAUUAGAGAUGGUCUAGUCCAAUCUCCUGCUAAAGGCAAGUAAACUGAGGUCUUGGCCACUCAGACUGCUCCAGCACCAGCAUAAACUAGUGGCAAAGACAAGAAUAAAACCCAGUCCCCCUGGCCCCAAGGCCAACACUUUACAACCUGAUGUUCUUAAACAGAAGCCCCCAACCCUAGGGGAUAUACAUUUACGUGCCAGAAAAUACUCCAAGCCGUAGCAGAAAUAUGCCACUUUUUCCUAAAUCUUGAAUAUUAUCUCAAGGUGAGGACGUUAAACAAAUGCUUUAUUAAAAACUAGACAUGUUAGACCAGGCUCAGGGACUCAUGCCUUUAAUCCCAGCAUUUUGGGAGGCUGAGGUGGGAGGAUUACUUGGGGCCAGGAGUUUGAGACCAGUCUGGGCAACAAAGCAAGGCCCUUUCUCUUCAAACUAAUAACAAAUAAAGCCAGCUGGGCCUUUAGUUCUAGCUACUUGGAAGCCUGUGGUAGAAGGAUUGCUUUAGCUUAGGAGUUUGAGGCUGCAGUGACCUAUAAUCUUGCCACUGCAUUCUAGUCUGGGUGACAGAGCAAGACUAUUUCAAAAAAAAAAAAAAAGAAAGAAAGAAGAAGAGGAGGAGGAAAUAAAAAUGCAUUUAUUAUUCAUUAUUGCAGAAGAAAACCAAAUUCACAUGA
rnacentral:lncRNA from 1 species